GGGAGGAGAAGUCGCUCGAGCGGGGAAGCGGCGGCCGUUAGGAAAAUGGCGCCGUGCGGCCCGGGGCAGACCCCCGUCACUGGUCACCGCCGCCUUCCUGGCGCAGCUGCUGUGUCACGGUCACACCGGCCGGCUGUACAGCAGGCAGGAGCCGGUGACCAUUCUGGAGGCGGAUGGGGUUAAGGGCCUGCUUGGGAACUGGUCGGCCGCCUGGGUGGUGGAGUUCUACUGGUCGUGGGGUGGCCCCUGUGUCAACUAUGGGGCCACCUGGAAGGUACUGGGCCCGGGAGGUGAAAGGAUCUGAAGAUGGAAGUUUCAAAAUCAACAGAUGAAGGCCUAAUGCCCAAAACGUUGACUCUCCUGCUCCUCGGAUGCUGCCUGACCUGCUGUGCUUUUCCAGCGCCGCACUUUCUGACUCUGACUCUCCAGCGUCUGCAGUCCUUACUUUGACGUCCAUGUCUGACAGUCAUUCAAUCCAAUCCAUCGGGACCGCAACAGUUUGCAACUAUGAUUCCGUGAGGAGCAAAGCUGUUUGGUUCCUGUUUGGGUAUGUUUUCAGCAUCAGUGGGACUGGAUGAGAGACCCUACCAUUGCAGUGCACUGAGUGAGGAGCGUGUAACAGCUAUACGGUUUGGAAAGAGGAAUUCACGGUGGAGAGAAGCUCCACAUGCGUUUGUGCGGCUGAAGCUUCGGCCAUGGAGAAACCCGAGGAAUCCCGCCCCGUAGAGAAACCACGGAAGUGUGGUGACUGUUCGAAAGGCUUGUUUCCCGUCUGCCCUGGAGACUCAUUGGCGCAGUCACACUGGGGAGAGGCCGUUCCCCUGCCCUGACUGCAGGAAGGACUUCAGCGAUUCCUCCAACCUCCAGACCCACCAGUGGAUCCACAUGGGGGAGAGGCCCUUAAGCUGCCCCGAGUGCGGGAAGGCCGUUACCCAGGCUGCCUCCUUGCUGACCAACCAGCGGGAUCACGUGGCAUUGCAGGAGGAUUGAAAGAAAGACGGCCGAGUGCCUUUACCAACUGGACUAUCAACCCAGUUCCAGUGGCUCCCGAGUUCGAUUCCCACAACAGAUGGCGGAAUUGGAAUUUGGUCAGAAAUCUGGAGUUCAGAAUCUAACGGUGAAACUAUUGUCGGUGGGGUGGGGGUGGAAAAAAAACCCCCUUCUGAUUCACUCAGUUCUUUUUUAGGGAAGACUUGAGCAGUUAUUAGAGCAGUCGUCCCAGCUGCAUCCUUUACCCGCUCUGGCCUACACGUGACUCCAGACCCACAAUAGUCUGGUUGACUCUAUGCUGCUCAUCCAACUUACUUGGAUACAGGUUGAAAUUGCUGAGUGAGGCAGUACUUCCUCCAGGUUAAGGCUACACCAAGGAUCCAAUUACAAAGGGACAACUCGGUGGUGACCAAUAAUGAAGAAAGUGAGGAGUUGCACUUUGACCUUGAGCUGUUUUUAAAAAAUUGCUACUUUUUCUACACCUUUCUGCUGGGAGAUUCUGAAGCUGUAACAAAGUUGGGUCACAAUAAAGAUUACCUGAACUUCACACUGAGCUCAAACUCUCAAUGAGAGCUUUAAACUGCAACAGGUUUUUGGUUUAAAACUGCUGAUUUCUUACAGGAGAAAGUUAGAACUGCAGAUGCUGGAGAUCAGGGUCAAGAUUAGAGUGGUGCUGGCAAAGUACUGCAGGUCAGGCAGCGUCCGAGGAGCAGGAAAAUCGACAUUUCGGGUUUGCUCCAGACUCCACCCUCCUUACUGUGUCAACCAUCUAUGCGAUCCAUGUCUGCGGGCAGGACACGACUGUCUCCAGGAGAGAGUCUCUCUGGUCACCCCGUCCAUACUCCUUGGAAUGAUUCGGCUCCCUACUCAGUCCACAUCCACUACAUGACCGAAGCAAUGAUACUUGAACUAAGAGGAGGGACAUGUGGGGGAUCGCCUAUCACUUCAUCUUUCUGAUCAUGUACAACAUCCUGAUGGGGAAAGCCACUAAGUAUGGAUGCGACCAGGAAUGAUCAGAGAUUAUCCACCACCCAUGCUGAGGAGAUGUCGUCCAGUGCACCGGAACAGACGCCUUUGACGUGUGGGACGUGAUGAAGAUUGAUUAUUGCAAUGGACUCUUACAUCAGAAAGACCAGAUGGUCCAUCUGGACAGUAGAAAUCAGUGGCAGUUACCAUGUUGUUACCAUUUUUUAAAAUUUUACCUGCAGACACAAGCCUAGUGAGGAUAAAAAUGAUCAACCCCGUUAUUAUGGUAAAUAUUUUAAGGGCGCCCAGGAAUACCAUCCCUUUUUGCAGGACGGGCCGACUCGAGAAAAGAGAAGCCUGAUAGGGGAAACUCCACAAUCCACAAACAACUGAUUUAUACAGGCCCACAGAACGCUCUUCACCCCAGAGGCAGUAGUAUGUUACUCCUCUCUAUCGGGAGAUGACUUACUUGCCCUGUCCCCAGUCCCCGAUUCCAUUCUAUUCGUCAGACUUGCUACUGCCGACCCUGUGAAGAGAAAUAUCACUUUCCAAUAGCUCCGGUCUGUGUAUACAAACAGCUGGUGUAACACUAGCUGGGGUACAGCAGGCCUUAUGUGGCACAUGGAUCUGGAACAGACUGGGUGACAAUACAGGACACCCAAUAGGAUGCAGAAUCCAGAAUACCUUGAGGUUGGAAGGUUCGGCAGGGGUGACAAGUCAAAAGAACCGCAAUUCCCUCUUUUGUGGCCUGACCAUUCGAGAAAAUAAGACUAAAGAGGCUCUGGAACAGAGUAAAGUGGGAUUAUCAGACCUGUGUCUUUACUCUAUGCAGAAUCGGUAUGCCUUAGACUAUAUACUCGCCCGGGAGGGUGAGGUCUGCACCAUUGUCCAAGAUAAAUGCACUAUGGGCAUUCCUGAUCUCACUGGCAAUAUUACUAAGAUACAAGAAGAGAUCUAGGUAUUCCUUGACAGAAUGACUGAAGAGACCAGUUGGGGAAACUGCAGAUUGGGCUCAUGGUACAAUUGGCUUAUCAAUUUAGCCAUGUAUGGUAGAAUACUUUUCCUCUGUUUGUCAGUAUUGCUCUUGUUAGGUGUUUAAUUGUUAAACUUAUGAGGUCCCUUAGUGAUAUAGAUUUGUCCCAGAAGAUGCUCCUUUUGCGUUCCGAUGGCUCACCCACACAUGUCGAUGGUGAUGAUAAAUAUGACCAGAUGAGCUGCGAAGAUGGUGGUGCCGCUCUACAGGAUGUUGAUGGCUGGACCACCUUGAAGGGCAUUCAUUUGGACUAGCCUUCUCUUUCAGUGAUCGCGGUGCAAUCAAAUGCAGGAAUGAGGGUGUGG